GACGAACGCUGGCGGCGCGCCUAACACAUGCAAGUCGAACGAGCGAGAGAGAGCUUGCUUUCUCGAGCGAGUGGCGAACGGGUGAGUAACGCGUGAGGAACCUGCCUCAAAGAGGGGGACAACAGUUGGAAACGACUGCUAAUACCGCAUAAGCCCACGGCUCGGCAUCGAGCAGAGGGAAAAGGAGCAAUCCGCUUUGAGAUGGCCUCGCGUCCGAUUAGCUAGUUGGUGAGGUAACGGCCCACCAAGGCGACGAUCGGUAGCCGGACUGAGAGGUUGAACGGCCACAUUGGGACUGAGACACGGCCCAGACUCCUACGGGAGGCAGCAGUGGGGAAUAUUGCACAAUGGGGGAAACCCUGAUGCAGCGACGCCGCGUGGAGGAAGAAGGUCUUCGGAUUGUAAACUCCUGUUGUUGGGGAAGAUAAUGACGGUACCCAACAAGGAAGUGACGGCUAACUACGUGCCAGCAGCCGCGGUAAAACGUAGGUCACAAGCGUUGUCCGGAAUUACUGGGUGUAAAGGGAGCGCAGGCGGGAAGACAAGUUGGAAGUGAAAUCUAUGGGCUCAACCCAUAAACUGCUUUCAAAACUGUUUUUCUUGAGUAGUGCGGAGGUAGGCGGAAUUCCCGGUGUAGCGGUGGAAUGCGUAGAUAUCGGGAGGAACACCAGUGGCGAAGGCGGCCUACUGGGCACCAACUGACGCUGAGGCUCGAAAGUGUGGGUAGCAAACAGGAUUAGAUACCCUGGUAGUCCACACCGUAAACGAUGAUUACUAGGUGUUGGAGGAUUGACCCCUUCAGUGCCGCAGUUAACACAAUAAGUAAUCCACCUGGGGAGUACGACCGCAAGGUUGAAACUCAAAGGAAUUGACGGGGGCCCGCACAAGCAGUGGAGUAUGUGGUUUAAUUCGACGCAACGCGAAGAACCUUACCAAGUCUUGACAUCCCUUGACGAUGCUGGAAACAGUAUUUCUCUUCGGAGCAAGGAGACAGGUGGUGCAUGGUUGUCGUCAGCUCGUGUCGUGAGAUGUUGGGUUAAGUCCCGCAACGAGCGCAACCCUUAUGGUCAGUUACUACGCAAGAGGACUCUGGCCAGACUGCCGUUGACAAAACGGAGGAAGGUGGGGAUGACGUCAAAUCAUCAUGCCCUUUAUGACUUGGGCUACACACGUACUACAAUGGCGUUAAACAAAGAGAAGCAAGACCGCGAGGUGGAGCAAAACUCAGAAACAACGUCCCAGUUCGGACUGCAGGCUGCAACUCGCCUGCACGAAGUCGGAAUUGCUAGUAAUCGUGGAUCAGCAUGCCACGGUGAAUACGUUCCCGGGCCU
rnacentral:rRNA from 1 species